AGGGGAAUUGCUGGGUCGAAUGGUGGCUCCAUUCCCAGCUUUCUAAGGAAUCUCCAUACUGAUUUCCAAAAUGGUCGCACCAGUUUUCAGUCCCACCAGCAAU
rnacentral:pre_miRNA from 1 species